rnacentral:rRNA from 1 species
UACGAACUGUGCGAACGUUAUUCGGAAUCACUGGGCUUAAAGGGUGCGUAGGCGGUUAACUAAGUCAGGUGUGAAAUCUUACGGCUCAACCGUAAAACUGCGCCUGAUACUGGAUAACUUGAGUGAGGUAGGGGUGUGUGGAACUUCCGGUGGAGCGGUGAAAUGUGUAGAGAUCGGAAGGAACGCCAGCAGCGAAAGCGGCACACUGGGCCUUGUCUGACGCUGAGGCACGAAAGCUAGGGUAGUGAACGGG